rnacentral:rRNA from 1 species
UACGUAGGGUGCAAGCGUUGUCCGGAAUUAUUGGGCGUAAAGAGCGUGUAGGCGGCCUCGUAAGUCCGCUGUGAAAGUCCAGGGCUCAACCCUGGAAAGCCGGUGGAUACUGCGAGGCUAGAGUCCGGAAGGGGCGAGUGGAAUUCCUGGUGUAGCGGUGAAAUGCGCAGAUAUCAGGAGGAACACCGAUGGCGAAGGCAGGUCUCUGGGCCACUACUGACGCUGAGAAGCGAAAGCAUGGGGAGCGAACAGG